UCACAAUUAAUCACGCAGUCUGGUUUGAAUUUAAACUUUUUUCUGAUUUUAAUUCCGACAUGUUUUCUGAUUAUCUUAUUCUGCAAUGACGACUUAAGAAUAAAAUUCACAUGUCAGACUUCAGAGAUUUUCGAAUCAAUGAGAAUGACAAUUCUUUUACCGAGCGGAUUAUGUGACAGCUUCAGUAAUAUUUUCAUAUCGCUUGUUAUACGUCAAUGAUUUGUUGUCACUGUAAUUAUUAUUGUGUUCUGUAUAAAUUUAAUGUCAUUGACGGGAGUUUCUUAUCCGGAUUCUCACACUUUUGUUGAGGGCGAACGAAUUGUGUUUGCAUGUUCUCAAGUAACCGUCAUAAAACAAUUCUCCGGCGUGACGGCGCUACCGUAAAGGUUAGCAUCUCCGCUAGAGUGGUCUCAUAUUCCAUUGCCUUGUGGAGCGGCGUCGCUGCCUUUACCAUAUGGGCCGGCCAUGAGACGAACAUUCCUGCAUUUUAAAGUUUUUGUUUCUAUUUAUUAUUUUUUUUUUUGAGCUUGAGUGUUAUAUUCUUUGUACAGUCUACAAAAUCGGGUUCACAGUCGUAAUGUGAGUUAUUACUUUUUAUUGAAUAAUAAUUUAUUAUGGCUCUGAUUAUUGAAUUCUGUUUAAAUUUAAUCUUAUUGGCGGGAGAUUCUCAUCCGGAUUCUCGCACUUUUGUUGAGAGCAAACGAAUUGUGUUUGCAUGUUCUCAAGUAGCCGUCAUAAAACAAUUCUCCGGCGUGACGGCGCUGCCGUAAAGGUUUGCAUCUCCGCUAGAGUGGUCUCAUAUUCCAUUGCUCUGUGGAGCGGCGUCGCUGCCUUUACCAUUUGGGCCGGCCAUGAGACGAACAUUCCUUCAUUUUAUUGUUAUUUAUUAGUUGUAUUCUUGGAAUAUGAUUGUUGUAUUUUGUAUAAUUUUUACCCAAUUUAUUUGUAAUUUCUAUUCUUGUAUUGUUCUUUCGUUUAGGUCUUUAAAAUUAAAGGAAAUUUAUAGUUUCACAACCCAUAAUGUAUCAUUACCCAAAAUUAAAAUUAGCAUUGGAGUAUAUAUUUUUCUUUUUUUAUAUUAUAUUGUUUACCUACUGAAAGUUAAGCAUUGGAUCGUGUUGUAUCAUAUUAUAACGGAAUUAAAAUAUGUCGAAAUUCCAAAACGAAGUCACUAUAAAGUAGAAGUAUUUAAAUGUUAGUCAUCUGGAAUUUCAGUAGGUAACAUCAUAAUUUCAGUAGGUAACAUCAUUCUAAUUGGUAAUCAUCUGGAAUUUCAGUAUUUAAAGUAGAAGUAUUCCAAAACAUAAGCUUGCAAUUUUAAUUAAAUUGAUUUACAAUUUAAAAAAUUUAUAAUACCAAUUUUUUUAUUCUCAUUGCUCUCGAAUACGUAUUAAUCUUUCUUUAGUAAACAACAUGAUUUAACAACUUGGAUAAUUAUAUUCAUGAUAAUUAAGUAACAAUUAUAAAUUAGUUCAUCAUAACCUCAUCUGGACAUAUAAGAUAAAAAUGUUAACUCUUUUUCUAUUCUUAUAACUGAUUAUAAAGUUAUUUUAUUUUCUGAAAAUUGUUCACAAAAUAAAUUUCUCAUAUCCCAAAUAAACAAAGUACCGUAUAAUUAUUGGCUGGUACGAAAUCCUGGUCACACAUCUUUGAAUCUUAUCUUGUAUAAACCGGCUCCUCUCAUCUCUACACACAUCCGAGAGAGAAAAAUGGAGAAGAAAAGCACAGCAACAAGAACAGCACAUUGCUUGGUGUUAGCGUUCCCUGCCCAUGGUCAUAUAAACCCCUUGCUCCAGUUCUCGAAGCUGUUGGUGCAUCAAGGGGUGAGAGUAACGUUCGUCACAACCAUUUUCCACGCCAAGAUUAUGCAGAAAGUGCCUCCUUCCAUUGCCCUUGAAACCAUUUCUGAUGGGUUUGAUGAAGUUGGGUUGGCAGGUGCUGUGAGCCUCAAGGCCUACGCAGAAAAUUUUUGGGAAGUUGGGCCACUCACCUUUGGUAAGCUUCUUGAGAAACUUGGUAGAUCAAAAGAUGAGCAUGUUGAUUGUGUUGUGUAUGAUUCAUUCUUCCCUUGGGCACUGGAUGUUGCAAAGAGAUUUGGCAUAGUUGGUGCUGCUUAUCUCACACAAAACAUGACUGUGAAUAGCAUAUACUAUCAUGUUCACACGGGAAAGUUGCAGGUUCCACUCAUACAACACGAGUUUUCCCUUCCCACUUUGCCUAAACUUCAACCUCAGGACUUGCCUACAUUUUUUCUUACAUAUGAAAGAAAACAGUUUCUGCUUCAGUAUCCCGUGGCUCAGUUCUCAAACAUCGAAAAAGCUGAUUGGAUCCUAUGCAACACAUUCUACGAGAUGGACAAAGAGGUUUUAAUUUUUAUGCAACUUGUUAUACUGUCAAAACAAAAUUAUUCAAAUAAAAAAUAAUUAAUAAAAUUUUAACUUUUAUUUUAUUUUAGUAUUUAAUAUUCUUUUAACCAGCGUUUUUUUAGAUUAUAGAUUGGAUCAUGGAGAUUUGGCCUAAAUUUAGGUCUAUCGGACCAAAUAUACCAUCUUUCUUUUUAGAUAAGCAAUAUGAAGAUGAUCAAGAUUAUGGGGUGACAGAAUUCAAGAGGGAUGAAUGCAUAGAAUGGCUUGAUGAUAAGCCAAAAGGGUCUGUUGUUUAUGUAUCAUUUGGGAGUAUUGCUACCUUUAACAAGGAGCAAAUGGAAGAAAUAGGUUGUUGUUUGAAAGAGUGUUCACAUUACUAUUUGUGGGUGGUUAGAAAAUCAGAAGAAACCAAUCUCCCUAAGGAUUUUGAGAAAAAAACAGAAAAGGGUUUUGUAGUGAGAUGGUGCUCCCAGCUAAAAGUCCUGGCUCAUGAGGCUAUAGGAUGUUUUGUGACACAUUGUGGUUGGAAUUCCACAUUAGAAACUUUGUGCUUAGGAGUCCCAAUAAUUGCAAUACCAUUUUGGUCAGAUCAAAGCACAAAUGCAAAGCUCAUGGAAGAUGUUUGGAAGAUGGGAAUUAGGGCUCCCUUUGAUGACAAAAAGGUUGUGAGAAGAGAUGCACUCAAGCAUUGCAUAAGAGAAAUAAUGGAGUUUGAGAAAGGCAAUGAGAUGAAAAACAAUGCAAAUCAAUGGAGGACUUUAGCCAUAAAGGCUGUGAAAAGUGGUGGAAGUUCUCAUCAAAAUAUUUUAGAAUUUAUAAAUAGCUUGUUUUAUUUAGAAUGCAGAGCAAGAUUUUGAAUGUGAUAAUGAUGUUUUAUUAAGAUGAACAUGUAAGAAUAGAUGAUAUUGUUAGAAUUGAAUAAAGGUCUGAAUAUCUCUAAAAUAAUCUAUUGUUUUUUUACUGAUGCAAAAAAGUUACAUUUACUUACAUGCAUGAAUAUUUUCUUGAAUCCACUGCAUACAGGAAUAUGCUUUUCACAAGACAGUACAUUUUCCAAUUUUUGGAGAUUUUUUUUAUUGAAAUGGCUCUAGACCAUUGUGCUUCCAGAGCCACCACCGCUGUUAUAUGUGUUGGGUCUGCUUUGCUCCUUGGUGCCUCUAGCCACCUAUGUCGUGUCGCGCCUCCACCAUGUUAGUUGAUGUUUUUUGUUCUAUUUUUAGUGUUAUUAUUUUAGUUAUUAUUUUUAAUGAAUUUAGUAUAUGUUUGAUUAUUUAGAAUUGAUUAGUGAUAUUAUCAGUUAUAAAGUUAGAUUUGAUGAAUUAAUUAAAUUAUUAACUAUAUUAUUAGUUAAAAUGUAAAAUUAGAAUUGAUUCAUUUUUAAGGAAGAGUAUAAUUAGAAUUGUUUAAUAUUAUUUUAGUUAUAAUUGUAAAGUUAGUAUUGAUUAAUUAGUUAUAUUAUUAUUUAAAUUAUUACGUAGAUUAUUAGUUGUAAUUGUAAAGAUAAAAUUGAUUAAUUUUUUAAUUGGAGGUAUAAUUAUAAUUGUUUAAUAUGUGUUAGUAUUAGGUUUGAGGUGUUCGAACUUUGACAAAUAUUGUUAGAUUUUGUAAAGUUCAAGCCUUAUAUUGCCCAAAUUUAGCACUUUCUUUAAGAGAUUCAUAGUUGAGAUUUAAUACAUUUAUUUGUCUAAUACUCCUCUAAGGUAAAUGUAUUUUUUUCACACUAAACAUUUAAAAAAAAAACAUUGAAGGUUGUACAUUGAAUGUUGAAUUAUUUGAACAAUUUGAGAAAAGUAUUCAUUUUUUAUUAGUUUAUUAAUAUAUAACUUGUAAUCUACAUUUCAUAUAUUUUAAGUAAUUUUGGUUCAUUUCACUUUGUGUUGGUUUUCAUGUGCAUAUUUUAUUGUGGAGAUUUAAUGUCACCACUUUCAUUUCGUGCCAUAUGAAGACCAAUGCACAAUAUGUCGAAAUUUCGUGAAAUAUAAGGGAUGACGAUUAAAUAUUAAGUACCAUUGAACUAUAAUAAAAGUGAGUCUUUUUGAAUGAGAUAGAGUCACACAUUUGAAAAAAUGCGAGAGUAUACAUGCAUUUAGUCACCAUGCAAAAGUGAUAAAUACAAGAGAGAACUAGAAUAAUUUAUACAAUUUGCUUAACUUGCUCAACAUAAUGCCAACAGUAGUGUUGAUGGAAUAAAGUUUAGGUGUUCUUGCAUUAAUUGUUUGAAUGAGAGAAAAUUGGAUACCAAAAUUAGGAACACCUUCUAUGUGAUGGGUUUCUAUGACAUUGUAACUUGUUCAUGACACAAUGAAUUAUUAUAGUUAGCAAGUGUGUGCAAAUCUCAAGAAUAUGUUGAUUGUACCAGGGAUGAUGAAGCGAAGCAAGAACGAUUGUAGGACAUGAUUCAUGAUGUUGGAGCUGAGUAUUUUACAUAAACACAUGAAUACAAAAGUAUGUCUAGUGAUGCAGAGACUCCUUUAUAUCCUAAAUCAACUAAUUUCAUACAACUGUCCAGUGGAACGUAAUUAUGAGGUUAAGAAAAUUUCUUGUCUGAUGGGUAUGGAUACAUGUUCAACAACUCCUUUGAGUCUUAGCACGUGAGAAGAUUUUCAUUUUAGUACCUUAAUGGGAUUAUGUCCCUAAUGUCGACCAAAACAUGAUUUGACAAGAUAUUUUGGUAAUGUAUACAAUCUCCUUGUUAUCAUAUAUAUGUUAUUUUUUUUUAUAUUAAAUCAUAAUUAUAACUUUAUUGUAUUGUCUUUCAGAUGCAUUUUGAUACCCCUAAUAUACAAACCCUGAAAUCAAAGGUUCUUUCUUUGAUCACCAUUAAAUUAUGCCAGUUUAAGUCAAAGCCGAUGAUGACAUACAUUUUUGGGCCGAAAAAAUGUCAAAAUCCUUGUCAAGAUACACCAACAUUAACGAAGAGACUUACCCGUUAUUUGUUGAAAGUCGUGAAGUUGACAAAUGGAUGGUUAGUACAAGUAGUUUUCAUUCAAAUUAAAGGCCAUAAAUAAAUCUAUCAUUAGUUUAUUCAAUUUGUUUGUUCCAUUUUUGACAGGAUGUUAGGAAAAAAAGCUAAGGCUAUUCAAGUACAAAAUGUUACCUCAGACUUAUUGCCUCGUGCGAGUUAUAAUAAGGUUGAGGAUGUUAUGAUGAGGUUGAAGGAGAAAAUAUGACUUGUUACUUCUAAGGAUGACAGAGGGGCCAGUCAACCUCCAUCACCAUCUUCCUGCGACCAGGAAUGGAAGCAAGUUCGUUUAAAAAAAUCAUGUGCAUAAAUAAAAAUAAAUAAAUAAAAAAUAUUUUUAUAAAAUUCUAAAAGUGAUAAGUAUAAAUAUACUAUUUUUUUUUCAAUAUAUGUAAUUUUAUUGGUAAAAUGUGAAUGACAAAAAAAGUUUAAUAACAAAACAUAAGUUUAAGUCUAAAUUAUUAAAUGAAUGUUUGAAAACAAUAUGUCAAAUACACGUCUUUAAUGUUUGUUUGAAGAAUGACGUGCAUAAACAUAAUGCCUUUAAUUCUAUAAAAUUAAAUUAUUUGCAUAUUUGUCUUUUUAAAGGUUUUAUUUUAUUACUAUUCAUAAAAAUAACUUUAUUUUUUGUUAUAUUAUUACUUGACAUUAGUAUUGAUUAUGUGUUUUAAAAAAAGUUUAGAAUAUCUAAUUUUUGAAUUCUAUAACAAUAUUAUUUAUCUACCUAACUGAAUUUCCCAAAACCUUUAAACACGCCUAAAUUAUGGCAAUACCUAUUGGACCAUAUCAAACUUGAAAAUACAAAAGGCAGUUUCUUCCUGCACCCCCACUUUUUUCUUCCUGCACCCCCACUUUUUACUUCCUGCACCCCACACUCUUACACAAAGACAAAAUCACCCUUAUUAGUUUUCAAAAUUUCAAACAUAUCCCUAAUAUGAAAAAACCCUAAAAUGAAGACAGUGUUGAUUUUCUCAUUUGUGCAGCGUUUUUCUUCCUCUCCCACAGCAGCAUAGCAGCGACACCUCCACAACAUUUUUCUUUCAAUCUCACACAUUCCUUUUUGGUGAUUUAGAGUGCUAUUCACAAAAAGGUAAGUAAAUUUCUUUAUUUUUCGGAUUUACAGAUCUGUUUUUUCCAUGAAUUUAUGUUUCCGUAAUCAUUUUUUCACAUUUCGAACUUAUGGAUCUGGUAAAAUCCCAAAUUUCUGAUUCUUCCGGAUUUUGGGAUCUGGUAAGCUUCUGAAUUUAUGGAUUCGGUAUUAUACUGGAUUGAUGUGUCUGGAAUAAUGAGUUGAUGUUUGUGUUUGUGUUACUCAAAUUAGUAAACAACAAUUAUAUUGGCUUUGUUUUGCUUGAUAUUAUAUUUAAACUUUAUUUAGUGUUUGGGUCAACAAUUAUGCUAAGUUUUGUAGUGUUUUAUAUAGUAAACUUUAUUUAAAUUUGACAUUUCAGUUGAUACCCAAGGAUAUGAUCAGUGAUUGUGGAAAUGCAGAACGGUGCCCUUUUCAAAUUUUAGAUCAAGGGUAAUGUUGGAAUUUUUAAAAUUGUGGGGUGCAGGAAAAAAACGUGGGGUUGCAGGAAGAAGAAGCCCCUACAAAAUAAAGCAAAGGCCCAUAUUGACAAGGACCCGGCCCAUUCCGCACCUCUUUCAAUUUUAAGGUUUUUCCUUUCUACUCCACCGUUCAAAUGUCCUUGCUUAUAAAUACGCGAAGCAAGAGCUUCACUCACAGUGUCUCUCACAUUUGUGCCUUUCCAACUGCUCAGGGUUCAGCUCUCUCAGAGGAUCAAAUUCAUCUGGCUCAAUUAGGUUUCUUCUUCAUUUGUUUAAGGGUAUUAUUUUUCGUUAUAAAUCAUCUGAUGAGAAAAAAAAAAACUGCAACAAUAUGAUUGGAUUCGUUCCAUGAUUCCUUGUAUUUAAGUCUCUGAUGAUUGAUUCUAUGAUCUCUGCUUCCAGUUUUCGAAAUCAUAUUUUUCUGUUUUUCGGUAUUUGUUUUUGAAUUUGCCUUUGCAGUUAUUCGAUUGGAUCUAAAUGCGAGGAGAUAUGAUGAUUUUACAUUGGUCCGUGUUUCUGAAUUACCGUGACCGACACAAAUCUUACCAAUUUCUGAUCUCCAUUCGUAUAUAACAUCUUUUAAUUGCAAUCGUUUCUUCAAUUAUUUAGGUGUAUGUUUUGAUUUGUGUUGGUUCAGCGAUAUUGUGCUAUAUUUGCAGUAUACGCUAUUUCGAUUUAUUACGUGAGCAGAUAUUUAAUUGUAGAUUAGAGCCACUGAUAUCUUAGUAUUCGAAGUAUCAUCACAGUUAAUCACGCAGCAUUGACUGAAUUAAAAUUUUUUUCGAUUUUAAUUUCGGUUCUGUUUUCUGUUUAUCUUAUUCUGCAAUGACGAUUUAAGAAUGAAAUUCACAUGUCAGACUUCAGAGAUUUUCGAAUCGAUGAGAAUGACAAUUCUUUUACUGAGCGGAUUAUGUGACAGCUUCAGGACUAUUUGCAUAUGGCUAGUUAUAUGUUAAUCAUAUAUUGUAAAUCUAAUUAUUGUGUUCUGUAUAAAUUUUUAUUUCAUUGACGGGAGAUCCUUAUCCGGAUUCUCACACUUUUGUUGAGGGCGAACGAAUUGUGUUUGCAUGUUCUCAAGUAACCGUCAUAAAACAAUUCUCCGGCGUGACGGCGCUGCCGUAAAGGUUUGCAUCUCCGCUAGAGUGGUCUCAUAUUCCAUUGCCUUGUGGAGCGGCGUCGCUGCCUUAACCAUUUGGGCCGGCCAUGAGACGAACAUUCCUGCUUUUUUUAUUUUCGUCUUUCUAUUUAUUUAUUGAAAUCUGUGACUAGGUGUGUUAUAUUUUGUAUAUUGUAUUCAGAAAUCGUGUUAAUAAUUGUAAUUUGAGUUAUAGUUUCUAUUCUUUCUAUUAAUGUUGUUUCUUUUAGGUCUUUAAAAUUCAUGUUGUUUUUAGUAUUGGAAUUCGUUCCUUUGUUCUGUUGGAUUUUCAAACUUGAACUUGUUGUAAGUAUAUUUUUGAAUUGUUGCCUAUUUCUGAUUAUCGGCAUAGGAAAUAUGGUGUGAAUUUGAUUGUAAUAGGAUAUAAUAUCUUUUGUAUAUAGUAUUGUUAACAUACUGUAAAUAGUGCGUGUUGUAUCAUAUUGUACAUCGGAACUGAAAUCAGUGGUAGUACCAAGCCAAAGUCAUUAUCAAAUGGAAUUAGUCAAAUAUAAAUCUUCUAAAAAUUCCGUUUAAAUUCCCAAAGAUUUGCAAAAUACGCAUCAUUUCGGUUUUUUGAAUUUUUAAAAUUGC
rnacentral:lncRNA from 1 species